rnacentral:rRNA from 1 species
UACGUAGGGGGCUAGCGUUGUCCGGAAUCAUUGGGCGUAAAGAGCGCGUAGGCGGCCAGAUAAGUCCGGUGUGAAAGUCAAAGGCUCAACCUUUGAAUGCCGCUGGAAACUGUCUGGCUAGAGUCCGGGAGGGGCGAGUGGAAUUCCUGGUGUAGCGGUGAAAUGCGCAGAUAUCAGGAGGAACACCAGUGGCGAAGGCGACUUACUGGACACAUAUUGACGCUGAGGUGCGAAAGCGUGGGGAGCAAACAGG